UAAGACUUGUGAAAUUUUAAUCCACAUCUCUUGAAUGCAACUCAAACACUUUCAUUAAGCCAAAGCCUUU
rnacentral:tRNA from 1 species